GACGUAGGGCGCGAGCGUUGUCCGGAUUUAUUGGGCGUAAAGAGCUCGUAGGCGGCUUGUUGCGUCGGCUGUGAAAACCCGCGGCUUAACCGUGGGCUUGCAGCCGAUACGGGCGGGCUGGAGUUCGGUAGGGGAGACUGGAAUUCAUGGUGUAGCAGUGAAAUGCGUAGAUAUCCGGAGGAACACCGGUGGCGAAGGCGGCUUCCUGGACCGACACUGACGCUGAGGCGCGAAAGCUAGGGGAGCAAACGGG
rnacentral:rRNA from 1 species